rnacentral:tRNA from 1 species
GAGGAUAUAGUUCAGCGGUAGAGUGCAUGCCUAGCUUGCACGAGGUCCUGGGUUCAAUUCCCAAUGCCUCCA